CAACACAACCUGGCCAUCCAGAGGGGACAGACAGACACAGACUGCACAAACAACACAAUGGAAACAGAGCUGCACUGCCGGUGGUACCGAGACACACUUCCCACGUAUUACACUCCAGACGCUAACAAACUGCCAUCUCUGUGGGGAGAAACACAACGAUGUGCGAUAACAGCACCACCAUUCGACGGGGGGUCGAGGGAGAGGAAGAUGAUGAUGAAGCUGAUGAUGAUGAUGAUGAUGAUGAUGAUGGUGACAGGUCUCUCUAUCGGACAUUCAGCUGACGGAUGCAAACUUAGCUAAGCCGUCCGAGAGGCUGAGAGGGCAGCGGCUUCGACCUUCAAGACCUGGUCUGUUCCUCCAUGAAACCUCCACCCUCCUUUUCUCCCCCUCGCACUGUUCUCUACCCCCUCUAUCUCUCCCCUCUCUCUCUCCUCCCACUCCCCUCCCCUCCCUCUCUCCCACUCGCCCUGUUCUUACCCCCUAUCUCUCUCUCUCUCUCCCUCUCUCUCUCCCUCCCUCUCCCCCCCUUCUCUCUCUACCUUCUCCCCCCGAGUUCAUGAACCGCUCCUCAGCGAACCUGCUCCUCCUGCCACGGCUCAAGUCCUCCUCACGACCCCAGCCUCCGUCUCCUUCUGCGUGCUGAUUGGCUGCUGUCUGUGGAGGAGCACCAGGUAAUCACAGAUGGCCAGGCUCUUGAUGCUAAGCUAUUGUCGCUAAUUAGAAACAACCAGACGAUUGCAGCCCCCUUCCUCCAGGGCCUGUUCCGCGCGCUGUUAUGAGGAGAAUAUGACGCUCUGUGGGACAGAGAUCAGACUCCUCACCUCCACUCCUAAGCCCCUCUUUGUUCACAUCCUUCUACCAUUCAUUAUUCUGGAGGCAAAGAGCACCAGCCUCUGAUCCUACAGCUCUCUCUCUCUCUCUCUCUCUCUCUCUCUCUCUCUCUCUCUCUCUCUCUCUCUCUCUCUCUCUCUCUCUCUCUCUCUCUCUCUCUCUCUCUCUCUCUCUCUCUCUCUCUCUCUCUCUCUCUCUCUCUCUCUCUCUCUCUCUUCAUCCA
rnacentral:lncRNA from 1 species